ACGUAUAUUUAAUAUAUUUAAAUAAGAAUUUAUGAAUUUUGGAAAUAAAUAUAUAAUUAACGUGCAUUUAUUUAUUACAUUUUAAUAUUUUCAACGAUUUACGAAAUCGAAAAUGAUUUUAGAAUUUUAAGUUGAAAAGAAUUUGAAUUACGAAAAUUGAUUGAAUUUAGAAAACGAUCCUAUUCAGUUUUGGACUCGAAUCAUAAAAGCUAAAUCCUACUCCUAGCCCAAUUGGGGAAAGCCCAAACCAAUAAAACCCAAACCAAUACUCCCUUCCCUUUACUAAUUCACGUGAGACCAAAGGAAACAAAAAAAAAAAAAGAAAAAAAAAAAAAAAACCCUCUCCCUCCUUCAACCUCACGUACAACACCAAACACUCAUCCCUCUCAGCCGUUCUCUCUCCUCCCUUCACGUCCGCCGCUUCUGCCAAGCCGUCGGACCGCCGUUGCUUCACCAUCGUCGACGUGCUCCUCUCCCCUUUGCCGGUACUCUCUCCUCCUUCCUCUUCUAUUUUGUUUUCUCUUUCUUUAGUUUUAUCCUCCCCUUAAUCGCAGGUUCUGUUUUCUUGAACCACCAGCCAGCCGCCGCGUGCGCAGCCGCGACCCCCAGGCCAACCACCACCUGCAUCUUCGUCGCAGCCCUGCCCAGCCGACACCCUCUUCGAUCUCUCUCCUCCUUCGCGUAGAAACCAUCUCCUCCCCUGCUUGUUUCUUGCGCAAGCCAGCCGGCCGCCGCCAUAACAUUGUCGUUGCCGUGCCGCCGCGCCACAGCACCACCUCCGGCCAACCACUCUCCCUUCCCUCUCUCUUUUGGCGGAGAAUUCUCUGUAGGCGACUUUUGAAUUAUUAAAGUGGUCUUGCAGUUUGUUUACACAAGUCUCUAAGGAUCAAUAAGCAUUGUCCAUCUGCAGGUUUGAAGAUGUUGCAUCAUUGGGAUCGGGAAUAGAGAGCUUGUAUUUAGUUUUGAUUUGCUAAGUUAACUUGGGUUUGUUAAUUGGGAC